rnacentral:rRNA from 1 species
GACGAACGCUGGCGGCGUGCCUAAUACAUGCAAGUCGAACGAGUGGCGGACGGGUGAGUAAUGCUUGGGAAUCUGGCUUAUGGAGGGGGAUAACGACGGGAAACUGUCGCUAAUACCGCGUACCAUAGGAUGAGCCCAAGUGGGAUUAGGUAGUUGGUGGGGUAAUGGCCUAACAAGCCGACGAUCUCUAGCUGGUUUGAGAGGAUGACCAGCCACACCGGGACUGAGACACGGCCCGGACUCCUACGGGAGGCAGCAGUGGGGAAUAUUGCGCAAUGGGGGCAACCUGACGCAGCCAUGCCGCGUGAAUGAAGAAGGUCUUCGGAUUGUAAAGCACUUUAAGUUGGGAGGCGUUACCAACAGAAUAAGCACCGGCUAACUUCGUGCCAGCAGCCGCGGUAAUUC